rnacentral:rRNA from 1 species
UGCAGUCGAACGGUAGCACAGAGGAGCUUGCUCCUUGGGUGACGAGUGGCGGACGGGUGAGUAAUGUCUGGGAAACUGCCCGAUGGAGGGGGAUAACUACUGGAAACGGUAGCUAAUACCGCAUAACGUCGCAAGACCAAAGAGGGGGACCUUCGGGCCUCUUGCCAUCGGAUGUGCCCAGAUGGGAUUAGCUAGUAGGUGGGGUAACGGCUCACCUAGGCGACGAUCCCUAGCUGGUCUGAGAGGAUGACCAGCCACACUGGAACUGAGACACGGUCCAGACUCCUACGGGAGGCAGCAGUGGGGAAUAUUGCACAAUGGGCGCAAGCCUGAUGCAGCCAUGCCGCGUGUAUGAAGAAGGCCUUCGGGUUGUAAAGUACUUUCAGCGAGGAGGAAGGCGUUGUGGUUAAUAACCGCAACGAUUGACGUUACUCGCAGAAGAAGCACCGGCUAACUCCGUGCCAGCAGCCGCGGUAAUACGGAGGGUGCAAGCGUUAAUCGGAAUUACUGGGCGUAAAGCGCACGCAGGCGGUCUGUCAAGUCGGAUGUGAAAUCCCCGGGCUCAACCUGGGAACU